CGUGCCACUGCACUCCAGCCUGGGCAACAAAGUGAGACCCUGCCAAAAAAAAAAAAAAAGACCUGAAGGAGGUGACGGAGAGCCAUGGUAAGAAACGUGGUCUGGGCAGAGGGAACAGCAAGUGCAAAGACUCUGAGGUGGCAUUGGCUCUGUUGAGUUUGAGAAAGGGUGCACUUGGCUGGUUGCAGUGGCUCAAGCCUGUA
rnacentral:lncRNA from 1 species